rnacentral:rRNA from 1 species
AGAGUUUGAUCAUGGCUCAGAUUGAACGCUGGCGGCAUGCCUAACACAUGCAAGUCGAACGGCAGCACAGCAGUAGCAAUACUGUGGGUGGCGAGUGGCGGACGGGUGAGUAAUGCAUCGGGAUCUACCCUGACGUGGGGGAUAACCUCGGGAAACCGGGACUAAUACCGCAUACGUCCUACGGGAGAAAGCGGGGGACCUUCGGGCCUCGCGCGGCAGGACGAACCGAUGUGCGAUUAGCUAGUUGGCGGGGUAAUGGCCCACCAAGGCGACGAUCGCUAGCUGGUCUGAGAGGAUGAUCAGCCACACUGGGACUGAGACACGGCCCAGACUCCUACGGGAGGCAGCAGUGGGGAAUAUUGGACAAUGGGCGCAAGCCUGAUCCAGCAAUGCCGCGUGUGUGAAGAAGGCCUUCGGGUUGUAAAGCACUUUUAUCAGGAGCGAAAUACCACGGGUUAAUACCCUAUGGGGCUGACGGUACCUGAGGAAUAAGCACCGGCUAACUUCGUGCCAGCAGCCGCGGUAAUACGAAGGGUGCAAGCGUUAAUCGGAAUUACUGGGCGUAAAGGGUGCGUAGGCGGUUACUUAAGUCUGUCGUGAAAUCCCCGGGCUCAACCUGGGAAUGGCGAUGGAUACUGGGUGGCUAGAGUGUGUCAGAGGAUGGUGGAAUUCCCGGUGUAGCGGUGAAAUGCGUAGAGAU